rnacentral:lncRNA from 1 species
UUCUGUUUGUGAUAUUUUAUGAUUGAAAUUUCCUGAAUUAAGUUGAUCUGUGUUAUCUUAUAUUUGUCAGAAAGUUUAAUAAUCUUUAAUGUCUCUGUUAUUAUUCCAGGAAAAGAUAGAAUUGUAAUAGUCUGACAAUGACAAGUAAUUGCUUAGACUAUUUCUUUUUUCUUGGCUUAGGGAUACUAAAUUUGUAAUAUAUUAAGCUUACCAUCACAAUAAGAAAUAUUCUUCUUUCUGACUAAAACAACCAGAAUUUAAUAUUUUUGUAUUACUUGAUGAGAAAAAUCCAUUUGCAGUUGAGCUAAAAACAAAAGAAAACAAACAACAGCAAUAAGAAAAACAAAGGAAACACUGUGUUGUUUUUCUGUUCCACGGAGGUGAAAGAGAACAAGACUCAUUAUACUCUCACUUUUCCUAGAUUGAAAAUUUCUCUUAAAAUUGGGUUUGGGAUCUAAUUCCAUAAUUCUUUUUUUUUUUUUUUUGUCUUAUAGUAAAGAAUAUAGCUGCCAUUUUUAUUUUGCAGGUGACAACCGAACCUUAAACUAUUUCUACCAAUGCUACCAGUAAAUCUAAUGAGUUAGCAUUAGCUUUUCAUAAAGUCAUAACUUUGCUCUGGUGAAUACAUUUUCAGUUGAACUGUACUCAAGAAAAAUUCCAUCCCAGCACUUUACUUAAAAGAUUGUUUAAUGUUUUGUUUUGUUUUUGGAUUAGCUGUAAUUGCAGAAAAGAAGUCCUCAGAGCGCAGAGUGAAAGUCUUUACAGCUGCGAUUGUCUCCCCAGUGGUAAUGACAGGUUUAAUUUAAAACUGCAUCCUCUUCUCACUCAGAUCAUCUUAAGACCAACGACUCAGAAUUGCUCUUUAGAGUUAGGAGUUGGCCAUGGUAUCAAGUGCCGAUAACGUGGUCUCCACAGGAAUUCAGAUUCUGAUUUGGGCCUCGCUGUGUUCUAAUCAAGGAACCUAAUGAACUACACUCAUGGUAAGUUCAUCUAGUCGGAAGCCUUGGACUGUUCCCAGACUCAGAGUCAAAUGUUUUAAGUGGUAAUCAAGUUUCCCUUGUUAUUGCUCAUAUUUAAUCAUCAGAAAAUUCUGUGUAUUUAUGUCGAUAUUUAAAGAAGAAUCUUUGAUUCCAUGUGCAUGCUAAAUGCGAAUUGGCUGUAUAGAGUUAUGCCGUUUGACCUUCUUCAACACACGGUGCGGAGUGCAACACUUCCCUGCAGUGCUUCUCUUCUGUGACUUUUUUUUUAACACUUAAAUUUGCAUUUUUGUUCAAGGUGAUGUGAAGAAGUUCAAUGCUACUAGCACAUACAAUUGAUUCAGUACUUUAAGAGAUAAAAAUUAUUUUGAUCAGUCUAUUCAACAACAAUUUAUUAAGAAGCUAUUUUGUGCCAAGCACUGUGCCAGAUACUAAAAAAUAGUGAACGUGGAAAUGGAAAAAAGAAGAAGAUUGAAACUGAUCUAAUAGUCCUACCAACAGUUGCUUUUUAGAUGAACAUAGAAAUUAACCCUCCUGGUCUUAAAGUUUGAAACUUACAUGUUUUAUCUGAGUUUCUUCCUCAGGAAAGGAUCCCCAGGGCUCUCAAAAAAAAAGUGUCAAAGAACUGAAACUCACCAGAUCAUGACAUCCAGACAAAGAGAUGCCGGACCCCUCAUCCACCAUGAUUACUUCCUUACCCCUCCUGCGUUUCUGUUUUCUCACACAUUGCUACAUUUUUCUCCCUGCUAUAUAAAUCUCCUAAUUUUAGCCCAUCAGGGAGAUGGAUUUGAGACUGAGCUCCUGUCUCCUGGGCUGCAGCACCUGGUUAAAGCCUUCUUCCUUGGCAAUACUUGUUGUUUCAGUGAUUGGCUUUCUGUGCAAUGAGCAGCAGGACCUAGACUGAACCCCUGGUGUUUCAGUAACAAGAUUGCUGAGGAAAAAGAAAUGAUAUUAUACACAACGUAUAUGUUUAUUGAUUGAUCUUGUUUAUAAGUUGUAGAUCUGAUAAAUCUGAACUAUAAAAAUAGGGAAUCAAUAAAUAGAUUCAUACAUUUAUUGGUUUUAUUAGUUGACACUUGACAAUAAAGUAUGGAAUUUUCCUCCUCUUUUUUGGUUCAUCAAGGCUAUUCUAUAAGGUGGGUUGAAACUCCAAGAAGGUUCAAAAUAAUCCUUCCCUUACACCCCUACAAGAAACUUCAGUUCAUGAACUUAACACCAGUAUGUAUAUUUUUCCAGAGGGUUGGGAAUGAUCUUGAUAGAGAUCAAUAGAAAAGGAAAUUGUGGACUUAUUGGGAAUAGAAAUAGGAAGUAUAGCAGAUUUCAAAAUAGAAAUUGAAGUUUUUGCAUUAAGGACUUGUAAGAGAUUGCUACAAGCAAAACAGACAAAAAUCCCAGCUCUUAAAGUUUUCACAUUUAUGGUUAUAGAUUACAAACUGUCUUUGCAAUGAGACAGGGUGUGGUUUUGCAAACUGGCAGCUAUGCAACAAUAUAAUGGAAAAAUAAUGCAAAACUUUUGCAGGGUAAAAAGGUGACUACUAUAAAGGAUGCAAUAUUUCAUGAAAUCAAUAAAAGUAAUAUUAAAGAACUGCACAUUUCAAAACAAACUCAGUGACAAAUGGAAGUUUAUCAGUCUAGACCAGCUAAUAACUGAAGAAAAGAGAAAAAAAACAGCACUGAUGAAUAAUAGCUAAGUUAAAUAGAAUGGCUCCACCACCAAAGAAUUCAGAAAGAUCAUGGAAAAUUGUUGAAACCUUGACAUUCUUUACAAAAAUUUACAAAUGUUAUUUAAAAUAUCAAACAUAAAGUAAGAAAUUCUAUACCUGUAUACUAUCAGAAAAAAAUAUAUGCCCAAUUCAACCCCUAACAUCUUAUUAAUUUUUUUCCUUAGGAUGAAUCACAAUUAUAACCUUAUUAUUAUUAAAAGUAAAAUAAACUUAUUUUAUAACGUACGUUUUAUUGAGAAAAUCUUAGGAAAGCCUCUCCCAUCCCUUACCCCAUUAUUUACUGUGAACCUCUAUUCAGUGGCUUUAUCAAGAGCCACUGAUCAAGGACCUUUUUUAUCUCUAUGCGAACAGCCUUCUUAGCCUUCCAAUUUUGAGGUCCAUUCAAGUCAAGCAAUUCACUUUUGUUUUGGUUCAGCAGUUGGAGAAUUGCUGUAUUUCCGAUCAUCAUAUUCAUCCCACUGGAUUGUAAGGAUAUCUUUCAUGUUUAGUAUUCUCUAAGUCAGAGAAAUUUUAAAAUUUAGAUCCCCAAAAUGAUAGUCUGCUCCACUGAUCACAUGUAUCUAUGUAUUAGUUUUCUAUUGCUGCAUAAAAAAAUGAACACAAACUUAGCAACUUAAAACACAUAUUUAGUAUCUUACCAUUUCCAGGGGUCAGAAUCUGGGUGCGGCUGGUCUGGGUCACCUGCUCAGAGUUUCAAGGGGUUUCUCAGGUUUCACCAUCAUCUGGAGGAUUAACUGGAGAAGAAUCUGCUCUCAAGUUCCUUCAGGGACUUGGCAGGAUUCAUUGUCUUCAGGUAGUAUGCCUGAAGACUUUCGGCUUUUCACUGGAGUCUGCUGGAGGCUGCCCUCAGGCCCUAGACAUCACCGGCAGUUCCUACCCACUCAGGCUUCUCCAACACUGGCCUUUACUUUCCCAGGCCCACAACAGUGAAUGUUAGUCCUGUUGCUAAGCUACAGUCUUCCAGAACAUAAUCAAAGAAGUGGCUUCCAUCACCUUUGUCAUCAUCUAUCGGUUAGAAGCAAGUCACAGGUCUUGCCCACACUCAGUGAGAGGGAUUACAUGAAUGUGUGACCACCAGGAGAUGGUAACAAUUGGGGUCAUGAGGGGAUAUGACUGCUACAAUCUCCCAUCAUCAAAAACAAAAACAGGAAUCUACACUCGGCUGGGAAGUGAGAGACUCAAAACAACGUGAGAAGUAGAAAGCGGGCAAGUUUGUUGGGGCCAUAUGUAACUUCAUGAAUAUCACUGUUUCAAGGACUAAGUUAUAAGUUUUACCCUUUUCAGAUAAGGAAAACAGAGUGUGAGUGGGGUUAGAAAGAGGAAAAACAGCAAGCCAAGUUGAAUCACUCAUCCUGAGAGGCAUUCAAAUACAGAGUUAUGGAGAAAGCGACUUUCCUCCACAAGGGUAAACCCCUCAACAGCAGCUGGUAAACCUCAGUCCACAGCGCAGAGUGUGAGAAAGGGAAGAUUUCAAACAACUUAAAUACAAAGAAAACACUUUUUUAAAACAUUAGUGAUUCUUUUCCACAUUUCCCUUUAGGCUCUAUUCAUACGGAAAAUAUUCCGCUACACCUCACAGCAAUAUAUCUUAUUUUUUUUAAUAUGCAGCAACCGUCAGCCAACUCAUAGCUGAAGCAGGGACACUGUGCAGCUCUUGGAGCUUGUUCUUAGUAUGUGUUCAGAGGGCUAAUACUCUGUCAAGCAGGGCGGAUGAUAGCCAGAGCAAACAGCCACGGUCCCCACGGUGGAAAAUAACGUUGCCAGAAAAUUCCGCACAUCUGGAAAGAACAGCAAUGAACAGGAACUUGUGCAUUCGUGCUAGGCUCCUACUGGGCCCGCUUCGUUUCAUUUCCUCCAUUUUUAUGACACUUUCCCAUGCUGCUACUCCAGACAUUCCAUCAAACACCUCGCCACGAACAAAUUGAAAGGGAAGGAAAUCUAAAGAAAGUCUGACUGAAUUUCUGAGUGUCUCAUCACUAGAAUGACCAGGAAAACCUGCCAGGAGUGUAGAUUCAGGCCCCUAAUCCCACUUCUCUGCAGUCUCCUCUUGGUCUCUGUGUAUAAGCUCUCCUGCCUUUUUGCACCUCUAAUCCAUUGUCAGACAAACUGGCCUACUUGUGUUUGCCUCUGAGAGCCUGUCCACUUCCUCACGUUAGGAGAAAGAACACAAAGAAUCCUAGCUUUGAUUCAGUUUUCCAUACUUCAGCCAUCAGUCUACCAUCAAGCACAUUUUUUACUGGGCAAAUGAAAAGUCAUUGCUUUCAAUUUUUUUUUUUUUUUUUUAGACUGAAUCUCACCUGUCACCCAGGCUGGAGUGCAGUGGCACAAUCUCGGCUCACUGCAACCUCUGCCUCCCAGGUUCUAGCAAUUCUCCUGCCUCAGCCUCCCAAGUGGCUGGGAUUGCAGGUGCCCACCACCAUGUCCAGCUAAUUUUUUUGUAUUUUGAGUAGAGACGGGGUUUCACCAUGUUGACUAGGCUGGUUUUAAACUCCUGACCUCAAAUGAUCCACCCACCUCAGCCUCCCAAAGUACUAGGAUAAUAGGUGUGAGCCACAGCACCCCGCCAAUAUUUUUGUUUCUAAUAAAACAAGAACUAGUAGUGCACUCCGUCUAGAGCAAGAUAGUGUGGUGGGGACAGGGAGCAAGUAGGUAGGGGAUAAAUAGGUCAAGAACUGAAUUCACAAUUGAGGCUUUAAGCUUGAUAAGAAAUAAAGCAAGUUUGAAUCAUCUGGGUCCCUGGGGAAGCAUUUGUUUAGAAAAAGAUCAAUAGUAAAUAAAAAUACCACGCACCUAGUUUCCAGGUAUUGAUUUAUCUAAAAGGGACCUGGCUUUCACAUAUUUACGAUAUGCAAGUGCAUUUCAAAGCUUUGCCUGACAGCUGGAUGCAAGCUGGGUGAGGCUGUAGGGGUGACAGUGUCAUCACAUGUGAGAGAGGCUGUGGGGGUGCAGGUGUCAUCACAUGUGAGAGAGGCUGUGGGGGUGACAGUGUCAUCACAUGUGAGAGAGGCUGUGGGGGUGACAGUGUCAUCAUAUGUGAGAGGCUGUGGGGGUGACAGUGUCAUCACAUGUGAGAGAGGCUGUGGGGGUGACAGUGUCAUCACAUGUGAGAGAGGCUGUGGGGGUGACAGUGUCAUCACAUGUGAGAGAGGCUGUGGGGGUGACAGUGUCAUCACAUGUGAGAGAGGCUGUGGGGGUGACAGUGUCAUCACAUGUGUGAGAGGCUGUGGGGGUUCAGGUGUCAUCACAUGUGAGAGAGGCUGUGGGGGUGACAGUGUCAUCACAUGUGAGAGAGGCUGUGGGGGUGACAGUGUCAUCACAUGUGAGAGAGGCUGUGGGGGUUCAGGUGCCACCACAUGGGAGACAGGCUGUGGGGGUGACAGUGUCAUCACAUGUGAGAGAGGCUGUGGGGGUGACAGUGUCAUCACAUGUGAGAGAGGCUGUGGGGGUGACAGUGUCAUCACAUGUGUGAGAGGCUGUGGGGGUUCAGGUGUCAUCACAUGUGAGAGAGGCUGUGGGGGUGACAGUGUCAUCACAUGUGAGAGAGGCUGUGGGGGUUCAGGUGCCACCACAUGGGAGACAGGCUGUGGGGGUGCUGGGUACCACCACAUGUGAGAAUACAGAAAACACAAAGCCGUCAGCUACGGAGAAUUAAAAUCAAAUUCGC